GAUGAACGCUGGCGGCGUGCCUAACACAUGCAAGUCGAGCGAUUCUCUUCGGAGAAGAGCGGCGGACGAGUGAGUAACACGUGGGCAACCUGCCUCAUAGAGGGGAAUAGCCUUCAGAAAGGGAGAUUAAUACCGCAUAAGAUUGUAGUACCGCAUGACACAGCAAUUAAAGGAGCAAUCCGCUAUGAGAUGGGCCCGCGGCGCAUUAGCUAGUUGGUGAGGUAACGGCGCACCAAGGCGACGAUGCGUAGCCAACCUGAGAGGGUGAACGGCCACAUUGGGACUGAGACACGGCCCAGACUCCUACGGGAGGCAGCAGUGGGGAAUAUUGCACAAUGGGGGAAACCCUGAUGCAGCAACGCCGCGUGAGUGAUGACGGCCUUCGGGUUGUAAAGCUCUGUCUUCAGGGACGAUAAUGACGGUACCUGAGGAGGAAGCCACGGCUAACUACGUGCCAGCCGCCGCAGUAA
rnacentral:rRNA from 1 species